ensembl:lncRNA
CAGGUGUAGUAGACCUUACAGUGAAAUGCUGAAUACAACAGGUGUAGUAGACCUCACAGUGAAAUGCUGAAUACAACAGGUGUAGUAGACCUCACAGUGAAAUGCUGAAUACAACAGGUGUAGUAGACCUCACAGUGAAAUGCUGAAUACAACAGGUGUAGUAGACCGUACAGUGAAAUGCUGACUGACGGGUCCUUUAGAACAAUGUAGAGAAAAAAUAGAAAAAAAUAAAAAAUAAAUGAGUAACAACUUGUCAGUAUACACUGGGUACCAGGUAAUAACAUGGUUAUAUACACAGGGUACCAGUACUGAGUAGAUGUGCAGGGGUAUGAGGUAAUAACAUGGUUAUAUACACUGGGUACCAGUAUGGAGUCAAUGUGCAGGGUAUGAGGUAAUAACAUGGUUAUAUACACAGGGUACCAGUACUGAGUAGAUGUAGAGGGGUAUGAGGUAAUAACAUGGUUAUAUACACAGGGUACCAGUACUGAGUAGAUGUAGAGGGGUAUGAGGUAAUAACAUGGCUAUAUACACAGGGUACCAGUACUGAGUAGAUAUGCAGGGGUAUGAGGUAAUAACAUGGUUAUAUACACUGGGUACCAGUACUGAGUAGAUAUGCAGGGGUAUGAGGUAAUAACAUGGCUAUAUACACAGGGUACCAGUACUGAGUAGAUAUGCAAGGGUAUGAGGUAAUAACAUGGUUAUAUACACACUAUUUAGCAGUCAACCAGGAUUUCUGGAAAAUGUAGGAAUUUGGUGAAAGCUGAAUUUAGCAACCCUAGCUUGGAUGAAAUACUACAUGCAGACACAGUAACAUGGUUAUAUACACAGGGCACCAGUACUGAUGAAAUACUACAUGCAGACACAGUAACAUGGUUAUAUACACAGGGCACCAGUACUGAUGAAAUACUACAUGCAGACACAGUAACAUGGUUAUAUACACAGGGCACCAGUACUGAUGAAAUACUACAUGCAGACACAGUAACAUGGUUAUAUACACAGGGCACCAGUACUGAUGAAAUACUACAUGCAGA